rnacentral:lncRNA from 1 species
CCCUUUUCAGCUUUCAGUGCCAAACCAACCUUGGUGUGGCCUAGUACUUGUUUUCUCAAUAUGAGAAAUCCUUCCACUCUCCAACGCGCUUUUGUUCUCUUCUGCCUUCCCUUGUUGCUUGUUGCCACCUUCGGUUAUGCUACUGAGGUUUCAGGUUUGUCACUCAUUUUCACAUUCACAGCUAAAUUCUGUUUGUUUCAUGUACAAAAUAAGUACACACAUGGUGGAUGUUUGAAAAUUAUUCUACAGUUGAUUUCGCAGCCAUAAUCAAUUCUGAUUGAGUAGCUUCUGUUUUUCAGAAUUGAUUAUGAGAAAAAAGAAUCUGAUACAAACAUGCUAGUAGACUUGUCUACCAGGAAAUGUAUUCUAGUUUUAUAUGGGGAGUUAGUUUCAAUUCCCACUUAGAUGUAUGUCAUUAUUACGUUAUAAUCUCUUAGAGUAUGUAAUCAGAUACAUGUUAGCUGUUUGAUCCCUUUGAUACUGCAUGUAUUCUAUAUAAAUACUGUGCCUAAGAGGCUUGUAAGAUUGAUUAAAUUUUCUUAAAAAAUUAAUUCUAGCACAUAAGGAGCAUAUUGUAAAUAACAUGUACUAAAUGUUAUUAGUUAAAACAUCGUUCAUGUAUGAACCAACUUUUAACAUGGUCUAGUGUAGAAUUGCCUUUCAAUUUAAUGAUUUAUUUUAACACCAAACAUGCAUGUAAGUAAAGUGUGGUCUUUUGCAUUUCUCAUGCAGGGAAUGAAGUGAAGACAGAUGGGAAGGUUGCACAAGAAGAGGUAGCAAAGACAAGCCAAGAAGGACCAAAUGAAGAAGCAAAAUUCAAGGGCUUUUUCCAUCAUAAACCAAUAAUAUUCAAGAAGCCUUUUCCAUUUGUGAAGCCUAUCCCAAAGCCAUUUCCCUUUGUUAAGCCCAUCCACAAGCCCUUUCCAUUUGUUAAGAAGCCUAUCCCAAAACCAAUCUUUGUGAAGAAACCUAUACCUUUUUACAAGCCUGUGCCAAAGGUAAUUCCUGUUCUGAAACCAAUUCCCAUUUAUAAGCCUGUGCCAAAGGUAAUUCCUGUUCCCAUUUAUAAGCCUGUGCCGAAGUUCAUUCCUGUUGUGAAACCAAUUCCCAUUUUGAAGCCUGUGCCAAAGGUAAUUCCUAUUGUGAAGCCAAUUCCUUUUUUUAAGCCUGUACCAAAGGUGAUUCCUAUUGUUAAGCCUAUCCCUAUUCACAAGCCAAGUCCAACUCCAUAAGGUGAGAAGGAAGAGCCUGCCUUGGUAUUCAAUAAAAUAACCAUGUUUUGAAACUUACCACUGUAUCUUUUCAACAUAAAUUGCCUUUGCAAAAUCCUACCUUACCCAUCUUAUAUAUGUAUUGUAUCAGAAUAUGUAGUUAACUAUUGCUUUUGUUUAAAUAAU